ACUCAAAUGAAUAGACGGGGGCCCGCACAAGCGGUGGAGCAUGUGGUUUAAUUCGACGCAACGCGCAGAACCUUACCAGCCCUUGACAUGGUGGUUAAAGCCGGUGAGAGCCGGUGUCCCGCAAGGGGACCAUUACAGGUGCUGCAUGGCUGUCGUCAGCUCGUGUCGUGAGAUGUUGGGUUAAGUCCCGCAACGAGCGCAACCCUUAUCUCUAGUUGCCAUCAGGUUGGGCUGGGCACUCUAGAGAGACUGCCGGUGACAAGCCGGAGGAAGGUGGGGAUGACGUCAAGUCCUCAUGGCCCUUACGGGCUGGGCUACACACGUGCUACAAUGGCGGUGACAGUGGGCAGCAAAGGGGCGACCCCUAGCUAAUCUCCAAAAGCCGCCUCAGUUCGGAUUGCAGGCUGCAACUCGCCUGCAUGAAGGUGGAAUCGCUAGUAAUCGCGGAUCAGCACGCCGCGGUGAAUACGUUCCCGGGCCUUGUACACACCGCCCGU
rnacentral:rRNA from 1 species